UACGUAGGGUGCAAGCGUUAAUCGGAAUUACUGGGCGUAAAGCGUGCGCAGGCGGCUUUGCAAGACAGAUGUGAAAUCCCCGGGCUCAACCUGGGAACUGCAUUUGUGACUGCAUGGCUGGAGUGCGGCAGAGGGGGAUGGAAUUCCGCGUGUAGCAGUGAAAUGCGUAGAUAUGCGGAGGAACACCGAUGGCGAAGGCAAUCCCCUGGGCCGGCACUGACGCUCAUGCACGAAAGCGUGGGGAGCAAACAGG
rnacentral:rRNA from 1 species